rnacentral:rRNA from 1 species
UACGUAGGGUGCGAGCGUUGUCCGGAAUUAUUGGGCGUAAAGGGCUCGUAGGCGGUUUGUCGCGUCGGGAGUGAAAACUCAGGGCUUAACCCUGGGCCUGCUUCCGAUACGGGCAGACUAGAGGUAUGCAGGGGAGAACGGAAUUCCUGGUGUAGCGGUGAAAUGCGCAGAUAUCAGGAGGAACACCGGUGGCGAAGGCGGGUCUCUGGGCAACAACUGACGCUGAGGAGCGAAAGCGUGGGGAGCGAACAGG